rfam:Fungal sp. No.14919 DNA, contig: Contig0013.
GGCCUCGUGGCCCAAUGGCAAGGCGUCUGACUACGAAAGAGCUUCGGAAGUGAAGUUCCUUAGCAAUCAGGAGAUUCUGGGUUCGACCCCCAGCGAGGUCA